rnacentral:rRNA from 1 species
GACGAACGCUGGCGGCGUGCUUAACACAUGCAAGUCGAACGAUGAAGCCGGAGCUUGCUCUGGUGAAUUAGUGGCGAACGGGUGAGUAACACGUGAGUAACCUGCCCUUGACUCUGGGAUAACUGCGGGAAACUGUAGCUAAUACCGGAUACGACCCUCGGAGGCAUCUCCUGGGGGUGGAAAGAAUUUCGGUCAAGGAUGGACUCGCGGCCUAUCAGCUAGUUGGUGAGGUAAAGGCUCACCAAGGCGACGACGGGUAGCCGGCCUGAGAGGGUGACCGGCCACACUGGGACUGAGACACGGCCCAGACUCCUACGGGAGGCAGCAGUGGGGAAUAUUGCACAAUGGGCGCAAGCCUGAUGCAGCAGCGCCGCGUGUGGGAUGACGGCCUUCGGGUUGUAAACCUCUUUUAGCAGGGAAGAAGCGAAAGUGACGGUACCUGCAGAAAAAGCACCGGCUAACUACGUGCCAGCCGCCGCAGUAA